rnacentral:rRNA from 1 species
GAGCUUGCUCUGAUUUCGGUCAGCGGCGGACGGGUGAGUAACACGUGGGCAACCUGCCCGCAAGACCGGGAUAACUCCGGGAAACCGGAGCUAAUACCGGAUAACACCGAAGACCGCAUGGUCUUUGGUUGAAAGGCGGCCUUUGGCUGUCACUUGCGGAUGGGCCCGCGGCGCAUUAGCUAGUUGGUGAGGUAACGGCUCACCAAGGCGACGAUGCGUAGCCGGCCUGAGAGGGUGACCGGCCACACUGGGACUGAGACACGGCCCAGACUCCUACGGGAGGCAGCAGUAGGGAAUCUUCCGCAAUGGGCGAAAGCCUGACGGAGCGACGCCGCGUGAGCGAAGAAGGCCUUCGGGUCGUAAAGCUCUGUUGUGAGGGACGAAGGAGCGCCGUUCGAAGAGGGCGGCGCGGUGACGGUACCUCACGAGGAAGCCCCGGCUAACUACGUGCCAGCAGCCGCGGUAAUACGUAGGGGGCGAGCGUUGUCCGGAAUUAUUGGGCGUAAAGCGCGCGCAGGCGGUCCCUUAAGUCUGAUGUGAAAGCCCACGGCUCAACCGUGGAGGGUCAUUGGAAACUGGGGGACUUGAGUGCAGGAGAGGAGAGCGGAAUUCCACGUGUAGCGGUGAAAUGCGUAGAGAUGUGGAGGAAC